rnacentral:tRNA from 1 species
GGGUCGGCUCGCCUAUUAGGGUGGGCAGCGGUCUGUAAAACCGCCGCUUUUAUGCAUUGCAGGUGCGAAUCCUGCCCGACCCA